UAGGCUUUCACAAUCCUGUGUUCUUGUUGCU
rnacentral:piRNA from 1 species